GCCUACGGCCAUACCACCCUGAGAACGCCCGAUCUCGUCUGAUCUCGGAAGCUAAGCAGGGUCGGGCCUGAUUAGUACUCGGAUGGGAGACCGCCUGGGAAUACCAGGUGCUGUAAACU
ensembl:rRNA 5S_rRNA 5S ribosomal RNA